rfam:Papilio machaon contig11502, whole genome shotgun sequence.
GCCUUCUUAGCUCAGUGGUAGAGCACUGGUCUCGUAAACCAGGGGUCGUGAGUUCAAACCUCACAGGAGGCA